GCUCCGCGGCGUCACUGUCCGGUCCGGCCUCGCUGUCCCCCAACGCCCGAGAGUCUGAUUUCGGCGCCCCGUGGCUGGCCUCUGGUUGUGGCACGGAGACCGCUCGGUGUCUCCGUGCGAAGCACGGCUAUCCGGAGAGAGAGAGGGUUCAAGCAGUGUGCGCACCGCCAAGCGAGCCCUGCAACUGAAAAGAAAGCAGAAAAAAAGUGAUUGCCAUGAUACGGAGCCCAUUCCUGGAGACUUCAGCCAUUCAAAACUUGUAUCAAUUAUACCUCCACACCAGACUCCUUCUGCCUGUAGUGCAGAGAAGCCUGUCACCAGGGACAUGCACACUAUUUCCUUUGAAGCCAAGGAGAUCGCUGUGUGCAUUCAAAGAAAGAAAUACAGCUUCAAAUGCUUAGAAAUGACAAAUUUAUACAAUUAGAAUUCAUUCUGUUUGCAAAAGUGUAUAUGUUGUGAAUAAAACCAUUGAGACUCCA